UGGGGAAUAUUGCACAAUGGGCGGAAGCCUGAUGCAGCGACGCCGCGUGGGGGAUGAAGGCCUUCGGGUUGUAAACUCCUUUCGACAGGGACGAAGCUUUUGUGACGGUACCUGUAUAAGAAGCACCGGCUAACUACGUGCCAGCAGCCGCGGUAAUACGUAGGGUGCGAGCGUUGUCCGGAAUUACUGGGCGUAAAGAGCUCGUAGGUGGUUUGUCGCGUCGUCUGUGAAAUUCCGGGGCUUAACUCCGGGCGUGCAGGCGAUACGGGCUGACUUGAGUGCUGUAGGGGAGACUGGAAUUCCUGGUGUAGCGGUGAAAUGCGCAGAUAUCAGGAGGAACACCGAUGGCGAAGGCAGGUCUCUGGGCAGUAACUGACGCUGAGGAGCGAAAGCAUGGGUAGCGAACAGGAUUAGAUACCCUGGUAGUCCAUGCCGUAGACGGUGGGCGCUAGGUGUAGGGGGCUUCCACGUCUUCUGUGCCGUAGCUAACGCAUUAAGCGCCCCGCCUGGGGAGUACGGCCGCAAGGCUA
rnacentral:rRNA from 1 species